rnacentral:lncRNA from 1 species
CACCAUCUCUCAGUGUCCAUGUGUGCAGGGUCUUUCACAGUAAGGCACAGGGGAGGGGGCACACCAGAAAAGAAGGCACCUCUCCAGGCUUGCUCCAUGACUCCCAGACACAUUUCACUCACCCCCUUCCUUCUGGAAAUGAAGUGGGGCCUGACCUCCUGUGGCAGCAUCUGCAUAUUGUCUCCUGUGCUCUGGGCUUAGGAGAAGAGGGGGUGGCAGUUAAGUCCUCAGCUUGAGGAAGUCUGGAGAAGCCACUUGUCCCUAAGGAAAAAUUCUCACAGCUAAAGUAUCAUUUCAUCACGCUGGUUACAGAUGUGAUACCCUCAUGGCCUCUACAUACAGCCAAAGCCUCCAUUACUCCAGUGAAAAUGGCGGGCCUCUGGAUCAACUGAAAAGUGCCACUCUACCAUCUUGGGCACAUGGCUGGAAAAGUAUCCAGACCACUUCCAGCAGCCUCUGGAGUUCGCGUGCCUCAAGCAGCUGGUGGAGUACAUACAGCUGCACAUGCCUGGCUCAGACCUGGAGCACCGUGCGCACCUUCUACUGGCCCAGCUGGAAGACACACAGACCACGAAGGCCAAGCCUGGGGGUGAGGAGGCCUGGGAUGUGUCCAUCAAAGCACAUGAGGAAGCCCAGGCAGCAGCACUAGUGCCAGGUCCAACUGGAGAGCAAGAGGCAGCUCUGGCAGCAGCCUCUAAACCAGUGGCAGAUCCACCACCCAUUCUGGGGCAAGAGUUGGCUGCAGUGCCAGCUCCAUGGCCAGGUGCACCUAGAAAGCCACCUCGGGUUAUUCCAAAGAAGAAGCAGACUGGAACUGAGACUCUGGAGCUGGAGCCAGCCAGAGCAGGGCCACUUCUACCAGUGGUGCCAUCCUGGCCUUCACCUAUGACCAUGAAAACCAGGGAUUCCACCUGGUUACAGCGGGGCAAAAAGGCCAAGGAGCAGCGGGCUGCCACCGUCUGCUCCAC